UAGUGUGUGUACUGCCCUCUAAUAAUAAUAACAAUCCGACUCAUAGAUCUGUGAUGUUAUGUUAUUGUGCAUUCAAGAUGUAAGCAUACUACAAACAUUAUGUAAAUUUUCAUGGGAAUUUGGACAUGCCUAAACCCCAGCAAUAAUCCAGUUACCUGUAACAUUAUACACCAGCAAUUACAGGUAUAAUUCCUACAGUGAAUGGGAGGACUGUUUAGUUUCUACUUUUGCAAAUUCAUUUCAACACCAGGCAAAAGAAGCUGAAGGAUGUCAAUAAGCAGGUUGGAACUAAACAGAGAGAGAUCUCAGUUCACAGAUGACCAUAAGAAUAUUGAAGAGCCUCAGCACAUACCAGAAGACACUGAAAAUCGUGAAAAUCAUACAAAUAUUGUUGAUGAGGAAGACAAGGAAACUCCAUCUUGUCCAAUGCAGUCAGAAAGAGGGCAAAACCUGGAGCAUGCAGCAACUAGUUAUGGAAUUAGGAUGGAGACAAAAUAUAGCUCCAGUAAACAGUCAUGCAUUAUUUAGACUCCAUGGAAUAAUUUCUAACUCUGGAUUCACAGGAGGUAGUACUCCUUUCGAAUUAUUAGCCUUUUUUCAUGAUGAAAUUUUAAACUAUUCACAAUGAAACACCGAGAUAUGCAAAGCAGAAAGCCCACCAAAAGAAACAUGAAGACCUAUCAAAACUAAAAUCUACGUUUGCUCAUUAAAAGCUGUAACUUCAUAGGAAGUGAAACUGUUUUUGCCAAGAGUUGUGCCUGUGUGUUGGGCAAAAAUCCUACCUACAGGACUGUUGGAGAACGGAUCCAGCCAUAAAAACUAAUUAUGUCAAGUCAACUGGCAUGUCACAUGAUAGACCCAUGAUUAUUUUAGCAAUGCUUUAUGCAAAUAAAUAUGAAAACCCAUGGGCUGAAGAGGUUAUGAUCCUUGUGAAAUAUGUUUCCUAUUUUCAGUGAACUAGCAAAAAAUUUCGAAGAAGUGUAACACACUAGAGAAAAUCCUGACAGUAGAUGAGGACAUCUGUGUAUUUUAAGGGUCAUGUAUGUCAUAGUAUAUACAAAAUAUA